UACAGAGGGUGCAAGCGUUGUUCGGAAUUACUGGGCGUAAAGGGCUCGUAGGCGGCCAACUAAGUCGGACGUGAAAUCCCUCGGCUUAACCGGGGAACUGCGUCCGAUACUGGAUGGCUUGAGUUCGGGAGAGGGAUGCGGAAUUCCAGGUGUAGCGGUGAAAUGCGUAGAUAUCUGGAGGAACACCGGUGGCGAAGGCGGCAUCCUGGACCGACACUGACGCUGAGGAGCGAAAGCCAGGGGAGCAAACGGG
rnacentral:rRNA from 1 species